ACAAAAGUCAUGUGUGCAAUCCGAUGCAUGUUAUGUGAUUUGCCGAUGUGAAAAUUCGUUCUUAUUAUCCCUUAUUUUAUUCGCAUUUUCGUGAUAACGAGUUUCAUAAUUUCAGUUUGGUGCAUUUAAAUCGCUUUAAAUUAUAAGCAACAUGAAUUGGAAUUAUAACGUCAAGGUGAAAGAAGGGAAACAUCACUAUGAUUGUAAGCUGAAGAUUACGGAACAACGACGAAAGGAAAAAAAUGCUCAGAACACCCAGCAGUAUUCAGAAUCGUACAGAAUGUGUUGUUUCAAGUUAAAAUUAUACCAAUUAAUGUGAUCGGCUAUUCAUUGUAAUAAACAGUUAAUUAGAUAAA